AUGAAAUGUGUCCAGUCAACUAGAACAGUUCUGAAUGAACUUAGAGAAAAUGGAUGGGACACUUUGGUAGGUGAAGUUCAUGUGUUUUGUGAGAAACAUGAUAUUAUAGAGUUUGACAUGGAAGAAGCAUAUGUGAAUCCAAAAAAGAGAAGGCAGAUAACUGGAAUUACCAACAAACAUCACUAUCAAGUUUAUUGCUUCAACGAUGUUUUUGAUUGGCUAGUUCAAGAGCUUGACAAUAGGUUCAGUGAGACAUCCUCUAACUUGCUUGUUUGGUCAGCAGCUUUGAGUCCAAGAGACUCGUUUCGUUUCAAUUUGGAGAAUCUUAUGAGUUUGGCUAACUUAUACCCUCAGGAUUUUGAUUCCGGGGAUUUGAGGGAUCUUGGUAAGGAUCUACGGCUCUAUAUUGCUGAUGUGCGCACAGAUGAUAGCUUUUCCAACAUAGCAACAAUCACCGAGCUUUAA
rnacentral:rRNA from 1 species